AGGCCGAAAGGCGUAGUCGAUGGGAAACGGGUUAAUAUUCCCGUACUUGGUGUUACUGCGAAGGGGGGACGGAGAAGGCUAUGUUGGCCGGGCGACGGUUGUCCCGGUUUAAGCGUGUAGGUGUGUGUUCCAGGUAAAUCCGGUUCACUUUAACACUGAGGCGUGAUGACGAGGCACUACGGUGCUGAAGCAACAAAUGCCCUGCUUCCAGGAAAAGCCUCUAAGCAUCAGGUAACACGAAAUCGUACCCCAAACCGACACAGGUGGUCAGGUAGAGAAUACCAAGGCGCUUGAGAGAACUCGGGUGAAGGAACUAGGCAAAAUGGUGCCGUAACUUCGGGAGAAGGCACGCUGACACGUAGGUGAAGUGAUUUACUCAUGGAGCUGAAGUCAGUCGAAGAUACCAGCUGGCUGCAACUGUUUAUUAAAAACACAGCACUGUGCAAACACGAAAGUGGACGUAUACGGUGUGACGCCUGCCCGGUGCCGGAAGGUUAAUUGAUGGGGUCAGCGCAAGCGAAGCUCCUGAUCGAAGCCCCGGUAAACGGCGGCCGUAACUAUAACGGUCCUAAGGUAGCGAAAUUCCUUGUCGGGUAAGUUCCGACCUGCACGAAUGGCGUAAUGAUGGCCAGGCUGUCUCCACCCGAGACUCAGUGAAAUUGAACUCGCUGUGAAGAUGCAGUGUACCCGCGGCAAGACGGAAAGACCCCGUGAACCUUUACUAUAGCUUGACACUGAACAUUGAGCCUUGAUGUGUAGGAUAGGUGGGAGGCUUUGAAGUGUGGACGCCAGUCUGCAUGGAGCCGACCUUGAAAUACCACCCUUUAAUGUUUGAUGUUCUAACGUGGACCCGUUACCCGGGUUGCGGACAGUGUCUGGUGGGUAGUUUGACUGGGGCGGUCUCCUCCUAAAGAGUAACGGAGGAGCACGAAGGUUGGCUAAUCCUGGUCGGACAUCAGGAGGUUAGUGCAAUGGCAUAAGCCAGCUUGACUGCGAGCGUGACGGCGCGAGCAGGUGCGAAAGCAGGUCAUAGUGAUCCGGUGGUUCUGAAUGGAAGGGCCAUCGCUCAACGGAUAAAAGGUACUCCGGGGAUAACAGGCUGAUACCGCCCAAGAGUUCAUAUCGACGGCGGUGUUUGGCACCUCGAUGUCGGCUCAUCACAUCCUGGGGCUGAAGUAGGUCCCAAGGGUAUGGCUGUUCGCCAUUUAAAGUGGUACGCGAGCUGGGUUUAGAACGUCGUGAGACAGUUCGGUCCCUAUCUGCCGUGGGCGCUGGAGAACUGAGGGGGGCUGCUCCUAGUACGAGAGGACCGGAGUGGACGCAUCACUGGUGUUCGGGUUGUCAUGCCAAUGGCACUGCCCGGUAGCUAAAUGCGGAAGAGAUAAGUGCUGAAAGCAUCUAAGCACGAAACUUGCCCCGA
rnacentral:rRNA from 1 species